UACGUAGGGGGCAAGCGUUGUCCGGAAUGACUGGGCGUAAAGCGCGCGCAGGCGGUCUUUUAAGUCUGAGGUGAAAGGCUGGGGCUCAACCCUGGCAUCGCCUUGGAAACGGGAAGACUUGAGGACUGGAGAGGCAAGGGGAAUUCCACGUGUAGCGGUGAAAUGCGUAGAGAUGUGGAGGAAUACCAGUGGCGAAGGCGCCUUGCUGGACAGUGCCUGACGCUGAGGCGCGAAGGCGUGGGGAGCAAACAGGAUUAGAUACCCUGGUAGUCCACGCGGUAAACGAUGAGUGCUAGGUGUCGGAGGGUACCACCUCCGGUGCCGAAGGAAACCCAAUAAGCACUCCGCCUGGGGAGUACGGUCGCAAGACUGAAACUCAAAGGAAUUGGCGGGGGCCCGCACAAGCAGUGGAGCAUGUGGUUUAAUUCGAAGCAACGCGAAGAACCUUACCAGGACUUGACAUCCCCCUGACGGGAGUAGAGAUAUUCCGUCCCUUCGGGGCAGGGGAGACAGGUGGUGCAUGGUUGUCGUCAGCUCGUGUCGUGAGAUGUUGGGUUAAGUCCCGCAACGAGCGCAACCCUUGAUCAGUGUUACCAGCACGUAAAGGUGGGGACUCACUGAUGACUGCCGGUGACAAACCGGAGGAAGGCGGGGAUGACGUCAAAUCAUCAUGCCCCUUAUGUCCUGGGCCACACACGUGCUACAAUGGGCGGUACAACGGGAAGCAAGAGAGCGAUCUGGAGCGAAACCCUAAAAGCCGUUCGUAGUUCGGAUUGCAGGCUGCAACUCGCCUGCAUGAAGCCGGAAUUGCUAGUAAUCGCGGAUCAGCAUGCCGCGGUGAAUCCGCUCCCGGGCCU
rnacentral:rRNA from 1 species